rnacentral:rRNA from 1 species
UUAUUUAAUGGCCGCGGUAAUUUGACCGUGCAAAGGUAGCAUAAUCAUUAGUCUAUUAAUUGUGGACUUGUAUGAAUGGUUGGACGAAGNGUUGACUGUCUCAUUUUUAUUAUUAUAAUUUAAAUUUUAAGUUAAAAUGCUUAAAUUUUUUUAUUGGACGAGAAGACCCUAUAGAUCUUUAUUUUUGGUUAUUAUUUAUUAUUUAGUUUAUUUAUUUUAUAUAAUUAUUAAAUGUUUCGUUGGGGUGACGUAAGGAUAAAAUUAACUCCUUAUUAUUAUUAACAUUUAUUUUUGAUUAUUU